UGAACUAUUUUCUGAGAUGUUGGAUCGCGGCAUAUGUCCCAACACAGUGUUCUUCAACACAAUUAUGGACCGCCUUUGCAAAAAUGAAAGGGUUAUGGAAGCCCAAGAUCUCUUCGACCUGAUGGUACACAUGGGUGUGAAGCCUGAUGUGUGUACUUAUAGCACACUGAUAGGUGGAUACUUGUUCGUUGGUAAGAUGGAUGAAGUGAGCAAGUUACUUGACAAUAUGGUCUCAAUUGGCAUGGAACCAGAUGUUAUCACCUAUAACAUACUGAUGCACCUCAUAUACCUCAUAUAUAUCCAUCUUGUCUGUUAUGUCCCAUGGACAUAUCUCAUUUGAAUGUUCGCAUAAGCAAAAAAGAGAUCCGCAUAGCAUGAUUGUGUAACCAAUCUCCAUUCAUGCUUGUCUUUCCACAAUUUUCGUUUGCCCCUGUGUCUACAUAAAAUAAACUUAAGGCAUAUACUGCAACAACAAUUAGGCUUAGGUAUGGGAGGCAAUAGGAAAAUCAAUACUUGAUGUCAAAGAUGGUCAAUAAGCAAGAUGAAGCAAGCAAGAGAGAGAAACCAACGCUUGGUGUCAAAGGUGCAUGUCACCUAUGAAUAUGCUGUUGGGUUGGGCAAUCUAAUGUUCAUCUUUAUUGGUACAUAUACGAUUGAUGUUUCAUAAGAUAGAAAAAAUAUAUUUGAAAACAUUUCUCAAAAAUUGAACUUAGGAUAUAUGUUGAAUGAAUUAAGAUUAGUAGGAUGUAGGAACCACAUUUUCUCCACAUCCCACGCCAAUUUGACAUUCAUUCAUUUUUAGGUCAAGAAACAUGUUCGCUGCAGUAAAUCCUUUAGAAAAGAUUAAAUUGUUCAUGCAGAUCAAUUAUGGAUACUAAACUUACCUCUUCUUUUCAUGUAAAAAGAGCAAGUGAGAUAUAGUCUAUUUUAACUGGUGAAAAUAUUUAUCCCUUUGCUUGCCUUACAUGGACAAGGCAUCUUUGUUCCCUUACAAACAUGUUCGAUAGGUUUUGCAAAUCAUUUAGGUUUCAACAUAUUUCAUGUUUCAAACGAUUUCACUUUUUAGGUUUCUUCUUGCCUUCUAGAAAUUUACUGGUUCAUAAUUUUUCCAUGGUUUGGAGCGUUGUGAUGUUUAAAUUUCUUUCAGGUGGUGAUUCAAAUCGAGGUAUUUCAGAUCCAAGAACCCAAAUCAACAAUUGACCUACGUUUUUACUCAUUUUCAUGCCGAAAACACGAAGGAAAGGGAAAAUGGGAUCAUUGUGGCAUCAAUAUGUUUGGAUAUGUUCCAUGAUCACCAUAAUCAUGAACACACACAUUAUCUAUUUUUUGGAUCUUCGAAAUAUAAACAAACAUGUAUUUUCUUAGGGAAACAAACAUGUAUUAUUAGUUUAAAACAACAUACACUAGCUAAAUACCCGUGCGUUGCUACAUGAUGAAACAAUAUCUAGGUGGCAUUUGACUAAUUGUCCUCAGCUACGAUGGUGUCAACUGUGCUAUGACGACAUUGGGGGCUACCAGCUCCAACCCGGAGAAAGGUGGCGAGAUGAGGAGUUGAGGUAUGGUUUUAGAUCUGAUCCUCAACAGUUGUCGUCCGUCCAAGCCACCAGCUCCAACCCUUGGGCUCCGUCGCACGCCGACAGCGGAUAGGGAUGCUAGUGCGUCAUGUUGCCUGCUCAUUGAUGGAUAAUAAGUGUGGCCGCGACACCUAGCACAAACGUCGAUGCAUGCAGCCGGGACGUCACACAUACUCGUCGUGGGGUGUCAUGUUUGUGUCAGUGGUUGUUGACCGUCCAAACCUUGAAUUUAUAGGAAAAGGCUAAAUCAAACCUUGAACUCCCAAUUCUUGAAAUCAGCACACCAAACUCACUGACCCCGCUCUAUUUUGAACCUUGAGAGGAUCUAGCGGGUAUUCGCUGAAUUGGGCCGGCCCAUUAGUGCAGUCUCUCGCCUUGGUCUGGUUUUUCUUUUCUUUUUGUUUGGUUUUUUUCCUUCGUUAUACUUUGUUUUUCACUGGUUUUAUCUGGUUUUUCUUUCUUCGUUAUACUUUUGGUUUCUUUUCUGGAUUUUCUUCAUAUUGUCUUCUUUUUCGAUUCUCUUUUGUUUCUUUACCGGUAACCAGUUUUCUUUUUUACACAUGUCUAAUUAUUCUCAGUACUCAAUGUAAAUUUUCAGCGCAAAUAUUUUUUGAUAUGCUUUCGACAUAUUUCAGAUACGUUAUUUACAAUUUUUUUAACUACAUGUUUUCAAACAAAUUGAAUACAUGGUAAUCUUUUUCCAAAUACACGUUUUACAUUUCUUAACAACAGUAAAUAUUUUAUACAACUACAUGAACAUUUUUUUUACAUUGUUGAACAUUUUUAAAACUGUAUACACUUUUUUCAAAUACAUGUCAUGUAUAUUCUUUUAAGGGCAUGCCACAUUUAUUUACAUCAUGCAAACUUUUUUUACAUUGUAUACACUUCUUUUUGAAAAUGUCACAAGCACACUUUUUUGAAACACAUGAACAUUCUUGAAAUGUUACAUUUCUUGAAUGAACAAAACAUUUGUUUGAAUCACAUGAAUACUAUUUACAUUGUACAUACAUUUUUUCAAAAUACCACGUACUUUUUUCUGAACUCGUUAUAUUUUUUUAGAUGGCACAACAUUUCUGUACGCAUUUGUUCAGGUUUCAAAUUUUGUUCCCAUUUUUUGAAUUUUAAAAAAGUGUCUGCACUUUAAAAUUUUGUUCUGGUUUCAACAAAAAAUAUGUUUCAAAAAGUGCUUGCUUUUUCAAAAUUGAUUGUUAAGUAUUCAGAAUUUCGAAAACGUGCUCACACUUUAUAAAAUGUUCGGACAUUUCCAAAUUUGUUUACGUUUUCAAUAUUUGUUUGCCCCAAAAAAGUGUUUCUGAAGUUUGACGGUUCGAUGUUUUCGAAAAGACAAAUAAUUUAUGAAAUUCCAAAAACAUUAUUUGUGACACAAUUUUUGAAAAUCGGAAGAAAAAAAUCAUAUCAUGUGAAAAACUGUUGGAAUUCUGAACAUUUUUUUGAAAAAUUUGCUUUUUUAAAUCACAGACAGUUAAAAAAAUGUGAAAUGAAUUAAAAAAUUCCAAACUUAAAAAAACGCAAAAGGAAAUUGAAUUUGUGCCAAAAAUAGAAAACAUGAACAUUUUCAACUUCUGAACAAUUUUAAAAAUGUGCAAACAUUUUUUAAACCUCACAAAUUCUUGUUGUGGUAUAGUGGGUCAGCCCAAAUUUUCGUCUAUCAGAGUAGCAGGUUAUCCUGGUUGGGAUUGUAGUAUUCCCUAUGUGCCAAGUAGGUCUAGGGUGUAAAAUAGACCGGGAUUACAAGUUCAAAGUGCCAAUUUCCGGGAUUUAAAAUUCAGGGUUUGGUUUAUCUUUCGUCUACAACUUGAAGCUUUGUUUUGGACUUUUUACUUAAAUGUCCCUUACGAAGUGGUAACAAAUUACCAUCACGUAUUGUUUUCUUUAAAAUAAUAUACUCCAAUUACAUUUUGUACCCACACCCCCCACGAUUGUGCAUUGACCGGUCACUAGGCGGUCUCUACUCUUUAAUACUCCUUUCAUUCCAUAAUAUAGUGCGCACGCAUUUUUUGAUCUUUAAUACUCCCUUCACUAGGCGGGGCUUCUCCGUUCCCCUUUUGCUAGCCUCUCAGGCUGGCGUAGGACGCCUGGGCAUGCGGAGGUGCUGGGUUCACAUGGGGCCCAGCGUCCGGGGCGGCGGCAGGGCUUCUCCGUUCCCCUUUUGCUCGCCUCUCAGGCUGGCGUAGGACGCCUGGGCAUGCGGAGGUGCUGGGCUCACAUGGGGCCCAGCGGCCGAGGAGGCGGUGUGGCCCUCUGGUGGCGGUGCUUCGGCGCUCUGGGAGCCCGCAGGCGGUGCGGCGACUGUGGGUGGCGUCUUUCUUAGGCUGUGCCAUAUGGUACGGUCCGGCUAGAUCUGGCCGAUCUAGUGUCGGUGGCCUGUAGUGCGAUGGAGGCUGCAUGCGGUCCUGGGCUCGUGGGUGACCCGCUCUGCAGUGGCCAGCGGCUGGUGGUGCCAAUGGCGUGUCGGUGGCGAUGGUAGAUGUGUGCUGGGAGGUUGAGGGCGCGGAUUGCGCCUGGUUCUGCUGUGUUUGGCCUGGCCGGUUCUCACAGCGGUGCGGGCGGCGGAAGGCAAGGGCUGCGGGCAGCAACCUCUAUCGUGGCCACUUCGGCUGGUGGAGGGGGCGGUGCAGCGCCAGUGGUGUGAAUUCUCGCCAGUGGUGGGAGCCGUAGUGCUUGUGGGCAGAGCCCGUGGCUCGGAUGCUGGCCAGUUAUCAUGGUCGUGAGGGCGGCGUGAUGGCUGGCAAUCGGCGACCGGUGGUGGGGGUAUGGCAGUGCCCGUAGCAUGUUUCAGAUUUGGAUCGUGCAGGCUGGGAUGAAAACCCUGUCCCCAUUGGGCAGGGCGUCAGUGACGGCGCCCAUCGCCCCCUUCUUGAAGGCACCGUCGCAGUUGGUCAAUCCUCUCCGAGACACUCCGGGUGAAAUCCGGGAUCACUUUGAUCGGACGGUGGCGGCGCUUCGAUGUCGUGCCCUUCCUGAAGACACCGAUUUGCAAACCUCGACUCGUCGAUGUUCUGUUGUGUCCUUGUUUAUUUAUCUGAAGUGGUGCUUUGUUACUUAUCGUUCGUUUGCUUCGUGGUAUAGCUGAUCUUUAGCAUCUUUGUAUCCAGUCUAGUGGUGGUCACGAGUGCUAGCGCGAGAGCCUUUUUUUGUCUUACUAAAAAAAGAAACAGCGGGCUCCGAUAUGUUUUUAUUCAACAAAAGGCCACUUCUUCAGGGGGAAGAGGGCCAGUGGCGGCGGCGGAAGUACAGAGUGGUGCCGGUCGUCCUCACCGGCGUCGGGGACGCAGCGCGCGGCGACGGAAGGCCGUAUUCUCGUCAGGGCCGCCGCAGCCAGCACCGAGCGCGGAGAUCUCGUCCUCAACGCUGCGGCCGUGUCGACCAGCUCGCCGGCGGCCAGAUCUCCUGUACAGCGCAUUUACCUACUGCAGCAGCUGCAACUCGAAGGUGAGCAUCCUGGCAUCUCGUCCAUCUUGCUCUGCUUUCCUUCCUUCUAACCCCAGGUUCAUGCCCAGGCUGCGCCGGUGGUGAGCGGCGGCGGCGCCAUCCUAUCCCCUCGAGGGAUUCUUCCGGCCAGGUGGAGCUAUGAGCCGCCGCUUUGUCCCCGUCGGCAGACGCAUCUUAGAGCAGAACAUCAAGGCUCGGUACCACGCCGGAGACAUUGGCACCGAGGACGCACUCCACCUGUUUGACGAAUUGCUCCAGGUUGCUGGGCGCUCCUCGAUCCAUGCCAUCAACUGCCUCCUCACCGUUGUCUGCCGUGAUUGCCCUGCGCUCGGCGUCUCCCUCUUCAACCGCGUCGCAAGGUCCAAGGUGGCGCCCAGCAGUAUCACCUAUGCCAUUCUGGUCGACUGCUGCUGCCGCGCUGGCCGCCUGGACCUUGGACACACUGCCAUGGGACACAUCAUCAAGACGGGAUUUGCAGCAGAAGCCAUCGUCAAUUUCAACCACCUACUCAAGGCCAUCUGUGCAGAGAACAAGACCAGCUAUGCAAUGGACAUCGUACUCCGAAUAAUGCCCAUGUUUAACUGUGUACCCAACAUUUUCUCCUACAGCAUUCUUUUCAAGGGUCUCUGCAACGAGAAGAGGAGUCAAGAGGCUCUCGAGCUGAUUAACAUGAUGGUUGAGGAUGGAGGUAGCUGCCGACCUGAUGUGGUGACCUAUAACACCGUGAUUGAUGGCUUGUUGAAAGAGGGUGAGGUAGGCAAGGCUUACAGCCUAUUUUGUGAAAUGCUGCGUCAGGGGGUAUCGCCGGAUGCUGUGACCUGUAGUUCAAUCAUCUCUGGCAUGUGCAAGCUUCAUGCAAUGGACAAGGCUGAGGAGGUUCUUCAACAGAUGCUUGAUAGAAGAAUUCUGCCAAAUGUUGCCACAUAUAAUAGUCUGAUACAUGGAUAUUAUUUAUUAGGACAGUGCGAAGAGGUGGAUCGGAUUUUCAAGGAAAUGUCUAGAAAUGGUGUUCAACCAAAUGUUGUAACUUACAAUAUACAGAUGGAUUAUCUUUGCAAGAGCGGAAGAUGCGCAGAAGCUAGGAAGAUUUUUGAUUCUAUGAUCAGUUUGGGCCAAAAACCGAAUGUUUAUACCUACAGCGUUCUACUGCAUGGGUAUGCUAUGGAAAAAUCUUUUCAUGAUAUGCAUUGUCUCAUUGAUUUGAUGGUAGAAAAUGGUAUUGCACCAGAUCAUCAUGUCUACAACAUACUCAUAUCUGCAUAUGCUAAAGAAGAAAUGGUUGGUGUGGUAAUGCAUAUAUUUACGAAAAUGCGGCAGCAAGGAUUGAACCCUGAUGCAGUGAGCUACGGAGCAGUAAUAGACUUACUUUGCAGCAUGGGCCGAAUGGAUGAUGCUAUGUCCCAAUACAAUCAAAUGAUAACUGAAGGAUUACUCCCUGGUAUCAUAGUUUUCACCCCCCUUAUUAGUGGUUUCUGUUCUUGUGGCAAAUGGGAGAAGGUUGAUGAACUAUUUUCUGAGAUGUUGGAUCGCGGCAUUUGUCCCAACAGUGUUCUUCAACACAAUUAUGGACCGCCUUUGCAAAAAUGAAAGGGUUAUGGAAGCCCAAGAUCUCUUCGACCUGAUGGUACACAUGGGUGUGAAGCCUGAUGUGUGUAAUUAUAACACACUGAUAGGUGGAUACUUGUUCGAUGGUAAGAUGGAUGAAGUGAGGAAGUUACUUGACAAUAUGGUCUCUAUUGGCUUGAAACCAGAUGUUAUCACAUAUACCAUACUGAUUGAUGGUUACUCUAAGAAUGGAAGGAUAGAUGAUGCAUUGGUUGUUUCCAGGGAAAUGUUGGCCGGGAACGUUAAGCCUUGUGUUAUCACUUUGAAUAUUAUGAUUGGUGCAUUGCUUAAAGGUGGCAGGAAGGAAGAGGCUAAAGAUUUGUUUGAUGGUAUCUGGGCCAAAGGAUUAGUGCCCACCGUUGUUACAUAUAGCUUAAUGAUACAAAAACUUAUAGAAGAAGGUUCUCUACAAGAGUCGGAUGAUCUAUUCCUUUCUAUGGAGAAGAAUGGAUGUGCUGCCGACUCCCAUAUGCUAAAUGCUAUAGUUAGAAGCUUACUUCGGAAAGGGGAGGUGCCCAGGGCUGGGACUUAUCUGUCUAAAAUUGAUGAGAGGAGGUUCACCCUUGAAGCUUCCACAGCUAGCUUGUUGGCUGCAGUUGCGUCAGGGGGGAAAGGCCAGGAAUAUAAGGAGUUACUCCCCGAAAAAUACCACUAUUUUCUGGAACAGGGCACUGAUUGAAACCUUUUCUAGAGAUUUUGCCUAGAUGCUCUGGAGUGCUAAUUGAGCGAUGAACUUCUCUUUGUAGGUUACUUCUUCCAACCUUUUCCUUUUUUAGUACGUCUGAAAUGUAAUAAUCGUUGGAGAAACUGUAGCAAAAUUUCUGACUGUCAACCUUUUCUAGAGAUUUUUUAGUACUUCUUCCAACAAGCUAGUAGUAAGCUUUCUGACUGUCACCAUUUUGUUGAUCCACUAUGUGUGUUUCAUACAUAUGGAUGGCUACUACUUCAAGGGAGUUGCACAUUUGGCCUCAGCUAAGCUGCAAUUUUUAAUUAGUUUUGUCAGUCCUGGAUUUGUCCUAAUAAGUUAUCCUUGGCACCUUUUGCCUUACUUUUCU
rnacentral:lncRNA from 1 species